CUUGGGCUCCAUCAAAUGAGUUACCAUUCUGCCAAGAAACUGCUUAAAAGAAGAUAAUGAGCUUAAAAUUUAACAGCCCGUUUCUCGGGAUUCCGGUUAUUCCCCGUUAAAUGGUCGGAACCGCCCCAAUUCUCUGUAUUCGGGAACAGGGCAGUUAUCGAAAAGAGGUUUUCGGGAAUGUAUUUGUAUGAAAAAACAUAGUGUUUGGGUUGCUCAAGCUAUUAGGUUCUCGCAUUUUUGUGGAAAGGAUAUUGAGCUAUCGAGGAAUGCAAAUGGGUUGAGGGUGGAAUGUGUGAAAGAGUCGUUUGUGCAAAGUAAGGCUCUGUGUGGAAAGGUUUGAAAUCCAAAAGGUGUUCUAACAUUUGAAAAUGGUGAUGUUGCAGCUCAAGUGAGGCUUAAGCGAGAUCAUUUAAAUAUAGCAAAAUUUGAGCCCGAGCAUGGAUUAGAUCCAAUGCUAGACUUGGUUUUGGUUGGAUCGGAGCUUCAAUUGAAGAUUCAAAGCUGUGCCAGCAAUUGACAGGACAAACUGAUCCCAUGUUCCGUAGAACAAGAUGCCCUCUUACCAACUGAGGUAACAUGUGAAUUUUCUCAUCCACUCUGUCAACCACUACAGUCUACCGAUGAGCUUGGACGUAUCAGAAUGUCCAUGGUUGAAAGGUCUAGAUACUGUAAUUGUGAAUGGAUGGAUCAUAUACAUCUCACAUGUUAUCCAUUGUUUUUUUCAUUUAUUAUUAACUAGUAAUGUAGGAAGAGAUCGAGAAUAGCUAGCAUUUUAUAUGUAAUCUAUGCAUGCAUGUCCAUGCGCGCGCGCGCAUCAUAUGCCUGUUAUCCAGGGUCUUGUUUGCUGUUGCAAGUUGUUGAUUGAAAUGUUUUCUCGAGGCAAUCUAGUGUUAUUUUUCCUUUCACACAGGCUGCUGGAGCAUUCGAGAGUCUAUUGGCAGAGUCCAUAUUGGAGGGUGAUGGCUAGCUUGCAUUUAAGAAGCUUGCAACUGCAACACUUGAACAAUUGACGCCAAGAAUAGAAGGGAAGGGAGGCCACGCCGGAUGGAGGCUAGUCUACGCCCCGGAUUCCUAGUUUACUUUCUGUUGAUCCUACAAUUGAUCCUCUUAAAUCUCUGGCCAAUAUUAUUUCAUUUGGUUCGGAGGUUGAGGCUUAGCUUGGGAAACGUCUUCAGGUUAUCCCAGUCCUCUUACCCCCUCUACUUAUAUAUUAAAAAAGCUUUUCAAUAAUCUCUUUUGGAUUGCUAUUCGAUCAUGUAAUAAGUAAUAAUGAGAAUGAAAGAGGCUCAAAAAGGUUACCUGUUCAUUUGGAUGUGGUUUUGAGAUGCCCCAGCUUGGUCCUUAUUUGAAGACUAUUGUUUUGGUCCUUUAUUAAUGGCCAUCUAAUAUCUAAAAGUCAUGAAAGCAUUCGUCUUGUUCUUUCUACUUUUUUCAGGCCUCCGUUGUAAGGCAGAUGAAGGCCUCCGAAAUGGCUACGCAAUGGACCCUGCUCUACCAUCUUGCCAGCCGUUUGCGAGUGCUCCUACAAUCUGCUCCUUCCGAACGGCUCCUUUUUGAAUAUUAUGUUAAGCAGUUACUAAAAAAAUCAAUGAAAUCAAAUCUAGGCACGAUCGAGAUUAUUGACGAACAAAUGUUCUUGGGCUGUCGAUAUUAGUUCUGUCGAAAGACUUGAAAAGUGACGUGCAUGAAUGCAAUGUCUAUGGCUAUUUUUCUGGAUCAACGUUGUCAUUUUCUUCUUUUUGAGGGCUCUGUGCUUUCCCCCUUUCGAUGAAAUUCCAUGGUGUUUUACGAUGCUUAUCAAUAGCAACCUCUAGUACAGCAUCCGACUGAAUGUCACAUAAUCAUUCCUCCCAGGACAGAUGAACCUAUUUAGUUAGGUGACGUUAAUCCCACAGAGAUAAUAAAACCCAGUUUGUGAUUAUGAA